rnacentral:sRNA from 1 species
UAAAAAAAGCAAACCCACACUGCAUUAGCCCAGUGCCAAGCACAUAAGUGUUUAAUAAAGAGUAAUGAUAUUGUUAACACACUUGAAAUGUAUCACCCCUUCAGUUAAUAGAAUGGUAAACAUGUUAGGAUGCCUGCCUAGAGGAUUUAGAAGAAAAUACUUUGUAAAUGUUCUACAUCUGAAAAUACAUGUUGAUGUCCAGGUUAGCAAGAUGAACAAAGAUGCGCAGAUGAGAGCAGCGAUUAACCAAAAGUUGAUAGAAACUGGAGAAAGAGAACGCCUCAAAGAGUUGCUGAGAGCUAAAUUAAUUGAAUGUGGCUGGAAGGAUCAGUUGAAGGCACACUGUAAAGAUAAUGAUUUUAAAUGAUAUGAUUUGUUUUUUGCUUUUGCAUAAGAGGUAAUUAAAGAAAAAGGACUAGAACACGUUACUGUUGAUGACUUGGUGGCUGAAAUCACUCCAAAAGGCAGAGCCCUGGUACCUGACAGUGUAAAGAAGGAGCUCCUACAAAGAAUAAGAACAUUCCUUGCUCAGCAUGCCAGCCUUUAAGAUUGAAUUAGAUUGUGUUGUUGUGGUUUUAUUUCUGAAAGUAAAACUUGCCAUAAAUUAGAAAACAAUUUCCCAAAAUAAAAUCCUUUUUUGUAUGAUGGUAUACAGUUUUCAGUAAUGAUGUAUACAUUGUAUUGAUUUUUUUCCCUAAAUGUGUUAUUUUAAUAAAUAUCUCAUGAAUGAGUUUGAA